CUGACUACGCUGACUGUGCUAGUGGCAGACUCCACUAAGCUGGCAGGCUGGCUAACAGCCUGCUGCCUGGCAUGCACCCUAUUUCAUUGUGGAGCUACAGUACAGUACAUAGUCAACCUCCCUUAAUAGUGCCCAACAGUAUCAACAUAUCCCUCUCUAUUUUUCCCCUCAACCAAAACCGUUGUGUUUUUCUGAAAUGUCACAAUGCACUGUUAAGAAUGAAUUAAUUGCUUUACGCUAAACCUCCUACCCAGCCUCAUAGGUCUCCAACAAAAAUAAUCUGCAUUCACAAGUGCUGAGCAGUCUAAGGGGAUAAUUGCAAUGAUGUCUGGUUAGUACUGUAUAUGUUCAUCUGUGAUUUAACAGUGCUUUGGUCAAAAUAGCAACUCCCCUUUAAUCCUUUCUGCUAAAACAGCUUGUCUAGGACUCAAUUAUAUGUCUCCGUUCUAAUCAAUGAUGUUGUCUUGUUAAGCCUUCCAGACAAAGGUACUGAUGAAGCUAGACAUUAUAAUUGAGAACCAGCAAGAGCAACUGAGGCUCCUUAUUGCUACAAGGCCAUCGACCACAGCUGAGGACCUCGACAUUCUGCCAUCACCGUUAAGACUCUGUGGCUGACCUGAAGCUACUGUUUAAGCGGAUCUCAACAGAGGAGAAUUUUCACAAACAAUUGACAUCCUAUCUCAGUAUGCAUGGGUCCAACACAGUAGGGAAGACUGUGAGAAGGAUGAUAGGGCGCAUUGGGACCAACAGACUGUUGUCCCAGUUCAGUAUGAAAAGGAGAAAAAGUUGGCAUUCGAAGACCUGCCUCUUUUAAGAGUAAUGACAAAGGCCUGCAGCAGAUGCCACAAAGAGGCCAAAAUCACUGAGUGUGAGACCGAAAUAGGUGAAUACCUGAAGCAUGCGCCAUUUAAGGAGGGGGGCAACAAAUACAGAUCGAAGACCACAACACUUGAAAUAAUGGAGAGUGACGGAAGCACGAGACCAAGAGACAGAAGCCCAAGAGACAGAAGCCCAAGAGACAGAAGCCCAAGAGACAGAAGCCCAAGAGACAGAAGCCCAAGAGACAGAAGCCAAGAGACAGAAGCCCAAGAGAGAGAAGGAGCACAAGCACAGAGUCGACCAUAAUGCUUUUUGACUAAAGAGGACAUUUUGUAACUCCAGUGUUUUAUUAAAUAUGUCCAGUUGAAAAAAAAAAGGAAAUACUAGGGAAAUAAUUAGUUAGUAAUUAGUUUCUAAUGUCACGUCCUGACCAGUAAAGGGGUUAUUUGUUAUUAUAGUUUGGUCAGGACGUGGCAGGGGGU